UCAACACGCCAAAUUCAACACGGCCAGCUCCGCGCCCGAUUCUCGUGGACCAUGACCUGACAAUGCGGAAUAAAAAGGGAGGCAAGAUGGAGGCCUCCUCUACCGACGCAAAAACAAACGCUACGCGAAUGACGGAUCAACCAGCCAUGAAGAUCAGCGCGAAGCGGACCCUCCCGCCCGAGAAGCCGGAGGAUAUUAGGACGAGAACACUGGUGAUAUCUGCAUUUUGGGCCAUUAUAAUAUUUCUGGGCCUUCCCAUGUGGUGGAGAACUACGUCCAUCUACAGGGCGAGACUUCCGUUGGAUGUGAUGAAGGAUUGGGCAGAUGGCAAGGCAUGUCGACCGGUCUUCCCCUUACAGAUUCUCGUACAUGCUCCGUCAAUGAACACCCCAGAUGCUGAACACCUUAUUCGCACCACCCAACAUGCUCUCGACGAUCUGAAUGAUUUCUCCGCACAUCACCUCAGGCUUCGCUUGGUAGAAACGUCACAGAGCUCAGGAGAGACACCGCAGGUUAUUCCAACAGCAGAAUCAGACGUUGAGGAGAAAAAAAAUGCGGCGCUGAAUGUCAGGUUGCUCCCACGGGAGGGUGUAGUUGUACCCAGCUCAGAACUACAUCCUUAUUCUGAACAACUGGAAAUAUUUUAUCCAGUCAAUCAAGCACCAUCUACUUCGACACUCAAUUCACUUCUCGCUACGUUUAUUGCCGCAGAGGUUCAGAAACUGUUCAAUGAGGAGAAAGCGACAAUUGCAUAUAUCCUGUCAAGCAGCAACACGUUUGGUCCGUCGCCUCAACCCUCGAUUCCAGGAGGUCAGGCCCCUUCUGUGAACAAUAGAGAGCAAGGAAUGGCAGCUAUAAAAUCCGUGGCCCCCCAAUUAGCGGAGUCAAUUGCUCGUCGCACCACGCGUUCUUUUAAAUAUGCUGAAACCUACCAUUUAAGCUUCUCGCUCUUCACGCCAGGACCACUGCCAUCCUCAUGGGACAUCGAAUCAGCGUUACAAGAAUACCUUCUACCACUACUAGGAACAUUUUCGCCCAUUAGCAACUUCUCCAUCGACACACAGGUGCAGGUGUAUGCACACUUCGCCCCAACUGCGGCGCAACCAGAAUUCGAUGAAUCUCAGAACGCCUGGACAUUGAAGAAAGAAGAGCUAGGCUCAUUCAUCAAUGCUGCGGAAUGGCCUCUAAGCCCCAGUAUCCGCAAAGGCCCAACGAUAAAUUUCAUCCUCUACAUCCCUUCAGCAAGCCAAUCUCCUCUCGUGAUUAAAGAAAAUGGUGCCACCAGCUGGCUCAUCCCUCA
rnacentral:sRNA from 2 species